rnacentral:tRNA from 1 species
GCAUUGGUGGUUCAGUGGUAGAAUUCUCACCUUGGAUGCAGGAGAUCCAGGUUCUUCAUUUCCUAGCCAGUGCA